UACGUAGGAGGCGAGCGUUGUCCGGAAUCACUGGGUGUAAAGCGCGUGUAGGCGGCCUGCCAAGUCUGCUGUGAAAGCGCCUGGCUUAACCGGGCGAGGUCGGUGGAAACUGGCGGGCUGGAGGUCGGUAGAGGGGGGUGGAAUUCCCGGUGUAGUGGUGAAAUGCGUAGAUAUCGGGAGGAACACCAAUGGCGAAGGCAGCUCGCUGGGACGGUACUGACGCUGAGACGCGAAAGCGUGGGGAGCAAACAGG
rnacentral:rRNA from 1 species